rnacentral:rRNA from 1 species
GAUGAACGCUGGCGGCGUGCCUAAUACAUGCAAGUCGAGCGCAUGGAUUAAGAGCUUGCUCUUAUGAAGUUAGCGGCGGACGGGUGAGUGACACGUGGGUAACCUGCCCAUAAGACUGGGAUAACUCCGGGAAACCGGGGCGAAUACCGGAUAACAUUUUGAACCGCAUGGUUAGAAAUUGAAUGGCGGGGUCGGCUGUCACUUAUGGAUGGACCCGCGUCGCAUUAGCUAGUUAGUGAGGUAACGGCUAACCAAGGCAACGAUGCGUAGCCGACCUGAGAGGGUGAUCGGCGACACUGUGACUGAGACACAGCCCAGACUCCUACGUGAGGCAGCAGUAGGGAAUCUUCCGCAAUGGACGAAAGUCUGACGGAGCAACGCCGCGUGAGUGAUGAAGGCUUUCGGGUCGUAAAACUCUGUUGUUAGGGAAGAACAAGUGCUAGUUGAAUAAGCUGGCACCUUGACGGAACCUAUCCAGAAAGACACGGCUAACUACGUGCCAGCCGCCGCGGUAA